GGAAAUGUCUCUCUUCCUAUGGAUGCCCAGCCUCUGCCCUUGUCUUCUGGACCCCACCUCCUUUCUACCACACAAGUUGGCAUGAUGACAACGUAUUUGGCCCUGGCAAUAGAUUAUGGCUGGUACAAACCAGUUCUCAGGAUAUCUUACAACUAGAGGCAGCCUUAAGACCCUGUUUUGUCGAGAAUACCUACUUGGAAGUCUA
rnacentral:lncRNA from 1 species